rnacentral:rRNA from 1 species
AGUGAACGCUGGCGGUAGGCCUAACACAUGCAAGUCGAACGGCAACACAGUAAGAGCGUGCUCUUACGGGUGGCGAGUGGCGGACGGGUGAGGUAUACAUCGUAAUCUACUUUUUCGUGGGGGUUAACGUAGGGGAACUUACGAUAAGACCGCAUACGACCUACGGGGGAAAGCGGGGGAUCUUCGCGCCUUUCGCGAUUGAAUGAGCCGAUGUCGGAUUAGCUGGUUGGCGGGGUAAAGGCCCACGCAGGGGACGAUCCGUGGCUGGUCUGAGUGGCUGAUCAGCGACACUGGAAGGUAGACAGGGACCAGACUCCUAAGGGAGGCAGCAGAGGGGAAUAUUGGACAGUGGGCGCAAGCCUGAUACAGCCAUACCGCGUGGGUGAAGAAGGCGUUCGGGUUGUAAAGCCCUUUUGUGGGGAAAGAACAGCAGCAGGCUGAGACGACGCUGUUCUGACGGUACCCAAAGAAUAAGCACCGGCUAACUUCGUG